GGGCGCUAGCCAGUGAGUUACGAUGCGAAGGAGCACUUUUUCAAGCAAGGCUCUGCGGGGGGCGACGCCGCGAUUCGUCCGACUUCCCCCGGUGAGAAGGACACCUGUGCGGCGCGGGCUGCCGGGAGGGGCUGCUCGAGCAUUCCGCGGGGGAAUCCCGUUGCAUUGUGGGAGGAGCGGAAGUCCAGGAAGUGGCUCCGCCGCGCUCCGGAGGCGCCGUACGUGCCGCGAGGGGAGCCGCUCGGAGCGCUGUCGCGUGCGCUCCUGGUCGCGCGCCCGUACGGACUGCGAGUGCGUGCCGCGGAGCCGCGCAGACAGAAGCGGCGCUUCAUUAUGCGUUCGGGGCGCGGGCUGCCAUGGCGGGCGCGUUCGCGAUGGUGAGCGCCGCCGGACGCGGCGGCGCUCGGCUUCUCCUCAGCGCCACACUCGUGGUCGCAGCGUUCGGCGCGAGAGCGGUGCGAGCGCAGAAAGGAGACGCCUGCGGGAAUACAGUUCUGGGGCCCCAUAGCGGCACACUCUCCUCCAUACGCUACCCGCAGACGUACCCCAAUCACACGGUGUGUGAGUGGGAGGUGCGUGUGGCCCCUGGCCAGAAGCUCCAGUUCAAGUUUGGCGACGUUGACAUUGAGGAUUCAAACUGCCACUUCAGCUACCUGCGACUCUACAAUGGCAUUGGCCCCGGGAGGACGGAGAUAGUGAAGUACUGUGGACUGGGCCUGCAGGUUCCUGACGUGAUCCAGUCCAGCGGCAACGAAGUCACGGUGCAGUUCAUGAGCGGGACUCACCAGUCUGGACGAGGGUUCCUGCUGUCCUACUCAACAACAGGGCACCCAGAUUUGAUCACUUGCCUGGACAAAGGAAUCCACUUCAUGGACGCCGAAUUCAGUAAAUACUGUCCCGCUGGCUGCUUGAUGGUCUCGGGGGAGGUUUCCGGGACAAUCCCACACGGGUACAGAGAUUCGUCCUCUGUGUGCCUGGCGGGCAUCCACGCAGGGGUGGUGUCCAACGCGUUGGGCGGCCAGAUCAGCGUUGUCACCAGCAAAGGCAUCCCGCGAUAUGAGGGUACGCUGGCCAACAACGUCACCUCUACCUUCGGUCCUCUGUCCAACAGCCUCUUCACCUUCAAAACCAGCGGCUGCUACGGGACGCUGGGCAUGGAGUCGAGCGUGGUUCGUGGCUUCCAGAUCUCCUCCUCCUCCGUGUGGGAGUGGAGCGACGAAAAUGGCCAGACGCACGUGUGGGCGCCGUCGGGAGCUCGGCUGAAGCAUUCCGGCCUUCCCUGGGCCGCCGCCGACAACGACCAGCACCAGUGGCUCCAAGUGGACCUGAAGAAGAAGAAGAGGAUCACAGGAAUCAUCACCACGGGCUCCACCCUCCUUGAGUACCAGUUCUUCAUCUUGGCCUACCGGGUCCAGUACAGCCAGGACGGCAGGCAGUGGCAGGCCUUCAGGGAGGCCGACAGCGACCAGGACAAGAUUUUCCAAGGAAACACCAAUUACCUCCAUGAAGUGCGCAAUAACUUCAUCCCCCCGAUGGAGGCGCGGUACGUGCGCGUCAGGCCCACCCAAUGGCAUCAGCGCAUCGCCCUGAAGAUGGAGCUGCUGGGCUGUCAGCUGCCGACAGUGUUGCCCCGUACCUUCCACCCACAGCCCACCAGACUGAGCACAGUUCCUCCGCUGCGGUCUGACAGGACCACCUUCACACCUGGCAUCCGAAAUACCACCAUGACCCCUAGUGACAGCAACAGUGUGGCGCUGGUGGCAGUGUUGGUGCCUGUCUUGGUCACUGGCCUAUCUUCUCUCAUCCUGAGCCUGUUGUGUAUCUGGCACUGCAGGAACAGGAAGAAGAGCACCAAGGGGGCUUAUGACCUGCCUCACUGGGACCGUACCGGCUUAUGGAAAAGCAUGAAGCAGUUCUUGCCAGCGAAGGUGUCGGAGGGUGACGAGUCGUCUGUGCGCUACAGCAGCAGCGGAGUGAGCCACCUGAGGGGACGUAAGGGUGCCCCUGUGGUGCAGGCCGAACCUGCAGAGUACGCGCAGCCCUUGGUGGGAGGUGUGGUCGGCACACUCGGCCAAAGAUCCACCUUUAAGCCUGAAGAAGGAGGCGACCCGGGUUACGCGGACCCCGACACGUACGACGCUCCUCUCACAGACAUAUACCAUGCGUACGCUGAGCCCCUCCCUGCUUCCGGGGCAGAGUAUGCGACGCCCAUCGUGGUCGACAUUGCAGGUUGCUCGGCUGCUGCGGGAACCCUGGGACAGGCAUCUAUCUCCACCUUCAAAAGGCCUGGCCCUGGGGCCCUCCUCGCAAGGACAGGUAGCGGUCACUCCGGGACGAACGCGCAGUACGACACGCCCAAGACUGCACCCGGACAGGCCCCGCUUACAGAGGACCUGGUCUAUCAGGUCCCCCAGAAUGGUACCCAGAAAGCACAAGAAGAGAGUAGCUGAAGGGAGCUGCAGAAGGAUGGGCAACUCUUCCCAUGACUUCCUGCCUUACCUCUCACCCUCUGACGUUAAUGCGGGCAGGUAGAGGCCGGACGCUCCCACAAACGCGAGAAGACCUGGGAUUGUUCACUGAGAGCACGUAGCCUUAUUUCACAGCGUCACCGACGUGGUAAAUGUGUACACACCGGUAUGUGUGAUCAGUGUAGAGCCUUCGAGGGCAUCACACCAUUCCAGUCCCGUCACUGAAACCAAGCCGAUGAAUGUUCACUGCUGUUUCUGCAGGCACAGCGCCUUUCGCUUUGGUCUCAUCUUUCAUUUUCCUGUAACGUCAAACUGUGAGGUUUUUACAUUCCGACAGAUUUUACUCUUUCUUGUUUUUUAAUCGUUUUCUACAUCGGGAAGCAACACUGAUUAGAUUCAGUCCGUUAGUCGAGGGGUGGGCAGAAUCAGUUUCUGGCCAAUGGGUUUCCUGAUCCUUUCUCUGCUGACUCAGCUCUUUUAUUCCCAUUGAAAUGAGAAUAUUGAGUCCCAUUUCUUCAGCCCUUGUGGACUUUAAUUGUCCAUCCCUGUUUUUGACUGCUUCUUUAAACAAAUAGCGAUCGGCAGCUUUUGUUCUUAUGGCACAUAGAAACUCGCACUUGUAUGUUCUCCAUAGAACACCGGGGUCAUUGGCCGAUUCCCAGCCUUCAUCCUUUUACAUCGCCCUUUCCAGAGGUCAUAUUAGGUGAAGGGGGGGGACCUUGAAUCUCUCAGAUUUUACUAUGGUACUGUUUGAAAAGCUUCCUUUGCUGUUUGAGCAGCGUGCUUUUCAAAUUGGUGUUUGAAGGUAGGGUGGGGGGGGGGGUCACCGCUUGAGUUUCAAAAUGUACUGUAUGCAUGAAAUUUCCAAGGUGACAGUGUUUUCUGGAAGCAUCAGAACACUUAUUUCCUGCUGAAAAGAGUACGGUUCAAUCCAGUCACUGUAGUCAUGCCACCGAGAAAUUCACUCUACUGUUGAGCUGUUGGCUUUGCCUCCUUAUGUGUUUCACACUGAGUGAUCAGUCGCCACAUAACUGUUGUUCACUGUUGGACAUGUUUGUUCUAGAACACUUGUACAGAAGCCAAAAAUUAACUAUUAGAGAUGUUCUAAUUGUGUGCCAAAGUAGUGUGACUGAUACAUAAUGCCAGUUUGUGGCAGUGUUAAUGCCUUUAAUACUUUCUCACAAGAUUAAAAUAUCUCACUAUUAGUUGGUUUGUGCAGCAUGAGGUGUAAUGAGCAUCAUUUGCCGGUGUCAAUGGCAUGUCAGUCAGGUGUUGUAUAUUUAGGUUUUCAGAUCUGAUUUUGCAUGCAAAAAUGCCCACGUAGGGAUUGUCAUUAUUGGAACUGCCAGACUUCAGGUAGUCUACUAGCAAAAAAGGAUGCAACAGCUCUCAAACUGUGAAGCAGUGAGCGAUUUAAUUUGCACAAAACUGAAGAUGCAUUUUGGUUAGUCUUCAUGCUGCCUUCAUUUCCAUUGAUACUGUUUGUGUAACGAUGUCAUAACCAGUCGCAUCCUGUGCAUUGUAUACGUGUCUCUCGUCACGUAAUAUAAAUGCGCUCUGAAGGCAUUUAGCCAGAAUGCGUCUCUUUUUAAAUUGUUUUACAAGGUUUGAGCGCCGUCCAAUCCUCCCCCCCAACUUGCAUUAAGCUGGGAUUCCAGCACCCGAGCGCCUCUUUAAUUGUGGCAUGGUUGUACCAUUUGAAAUGCAGCACACAACUUUAAAUAUGAAAGCGUCUCACUGUGAAUCUACUUAACUAUGAUGUACUCUGGAGGGUGAGGAUAUGUUCAUAAGUGUGUAACCGAUGUGAUUCAGCAGUUGUUAGUCUAGUUAACGGCUAGCUGCAAUAAGGUAUGUACAUAAGCUGGUGGAAAUCAUUGUCAAAAAUGAGACCCUUUCAUUAGCAGUUUUAGAUGUGCAAUGUAUUUGGUCUUCCAAUCACUGACUGUGGGUAGCUGUAAUGAAAAAUGUUUCAACUAAUCAAAUCGCAUGAAUGUACUCCCUGUUGUACCUCUGUGUGCUUUAGUCAGUGGUGUUAGACUGUAUAGAGAGAAUUUAAAAAUGUUUAUUGUAUGUUUAAUAAAUGGGUUGUUGGUUAUACA
rnacentral:lncRNA from 1 species